rnacentral:rRNA from 1 species
UAACGGCGAGUGAACCGGGAAGAGCUCAAAUUUGAAAUCUGGCGUGCUCAGUGCGUCCGAGUUGUAAUCUAUAGAGGCGUUUUCCGUGCCGGACUGUGUCUAAGUCCCUUGGAACAGGGUAUCAAAGAGGGUGAUAAUCCCGUACUUGACACAAUGACCGGUGCUCUGUGAUACGUCUUCUACGAGUCGAGUUGUUUGGGAAUGCAGCUCAAAAUGGGUGGUGAGUUCCAUCUAAAGCUAAAUAUUGGCGAGAGACCGAUAGCGAACAAGUACCGUGAGGGAAAGAUGAAAAGCACUUUGGAAAGAGAGUUAAACAGUACGUGAAAUUGUUGAAAGGGAAACGAUUGAAGUCAGUCGUGACUGAGAGGCUCAGCCGGUUCUGCCGGUGUAUUCCCCUCAGUCGGGUCAACAUCAGUUUUGUUCGGUGGAUAAGGGCAGCUGGAAGGUGGCACCUCCGGGUGUGUUAUAGCCAGCUGUCGCAUACACCGAAUGAGACUGAGGAAUGCAGCUCGCCUUUAUGGCCGGGGUUCGCCCACGUCCGAGCUUAGGAUGUU